CCUCCAGCUUCUUCCCAGGAAGCUGCUGCUGAUGUGGAUUUGCGUCUGUAUCGGUCCUCCGGUUCAGGUCCAGGGAGGUCUGAUUGUUUCCAGGAGAGAUGGCCUGAAACGGACCAGCGUCAACAGGCGGAAAGAAGUCGAGGCCCUACUGCUGCCAGUCGUGCCAGAGCUCGAGGUGUGGGGGACGUUUGGACAUUAGACUGACUAACAGCUGCAGUCUGACUGUAUCGCUGCGGCACACAGUUAAAUUUAGGAUCAUCAGACACACAAAGAUUUGGAAGAAAUACCACGACCAACAAGACUAUCUGGGUUUAUAAACCCUGGACAGUCAUCACUUAUCCUCCUCAGUUCAUGGACUUCUUGGUUAACUAACUACAUUAAGACUUUAUAUUGUGGUGCAGUAAUACUGUACUUGUUGAAUCUUUCAAUAAGCCUUUAAUCACACUCGACAAAUCAGUUCUACCAUAGAUACCAGUUUGAGGUGACAGAUUUGCAUCCAGGAGAAGUGGAGGGAAAGUCAAAUGCGAUAAGGUACAUAAAAGGCCAAACCAUCAAUGUGACCAGGUAAAUGUUUUUCUUUUUGUAAAACGGGACUUUGAAAAAAAAAUGGACUAAAGAAUUCUUUUUUUAUUUUUCUU